ensembl:snoRNA SNORD13P1 small nucleolar RNA, C/D box 13 pseudogene 1
AUCCUUUUGUAGUUCAUGAGCGUGAUGAUUGGGUGUUCACAUGCAUGUGUGAGCUGUGCCACCCUCGAACCUUGUUACCAUGUAGGCACAUUACCGAUCUGACA